rnacentral:rRNA from 1 species
CUGGGGCUGGAGUAGGUCCCAAGGGUUGGGCUGUUCGCCCAUUAAAGAGGCACGCGAGCUGGGUUCAGAACGUCGUGAGACAGUUCGGUCCCUAUCUUCCGUGCGCGAAGGAAACUUGAGAAGGGCUGUCCCUAGUACGAGAGGACCGGGACGGACGAACCUCUUGUGUGUCGGUUGUUUCGCCAGAAGCACGGCCGAUUAGCAACGUUCGGAAGGGAUAACCGCUGAAAGCAUCUAAGCGGGAAGCUCGCUUCAAGAUUAGGUUUCCCACUGGUUUACCAGGUAAGACCCCCAAGAGACUAUUGGGUUGAUAGGCCGGAAGUGGAAGAGGCGCAAGCCUUGCAGCUGACCGGUACUAAUAGGUCGAGGAUUUAACUAC